UACGAAGGGGGCUAGCGUUGCUCGGAAUUACUGGGCGUAAAGGGCGCGUAGGCGGACAUUUUAGUCAGACGUGAAAUCCCUCGGCUUAACCGGGGAACUGCGUCUGAUACUGGAUGGCUUGAAUCCGGGAGAGGGAUGCGGAAUUCCAGGUGUAGCGGUGAAAUGCGUAGAUAUCUGGAGGAACACCGGUGGCGAAGGCGGCAUCCUGGACCGGCAUUGACGCUGAGGAGCGAAAGCCAGGGGAGCAAACGGG
rnacentral:rRNA from 1 species